rnacentral:piRNA from 1 species
UGAAGCUGCACGACUUCUCCUCUCC